CAGUGUUUAAUUCUGUUAAUAUUGCUAGUGUUUACUCAUUUCAAUUAGUGCUAAUGUUUACUCCAUGUCAAUAUUACUUUUACUGUCAUGGUCAUGUUAUUUGAACCUUAAGGCUUUGUGCACCUUAUUUGAACUUUCAGAAACCAGCCUAAUUUCCUUAGGUGAACUCAUAAUAUGACAAUUGUUUCAGAAACAACACCCUUUUCAAUACAUCAAUUCUGCCUUUUCUUGUCAAGAAACAACACCCUUUUCAGUACAUCAUCUGCAAAUUUGAUUCACUUAGUGUUACUCCUAACUGAAUUCCUUUGGCAGUGUGAAAGAAAGAGAACUCGAGCCAAGGUGAUGGUGAUGGAAAUGAAUGAAAGAAAGAGAAGCUAGUAAAUAAAGAAACUGAGAUUUAGUUUGAUUUGGAGCGCCUCUUGUUGUACCAUAGUUCCUUCUCUUGGAGUAGUACUUGUACAACAGGUUUUGGAUUGGGAGGGGAAAAUGCUCUUCCUUCAGUCUCUGUUGAAGUCAAACCCAUCCAUGCAAAAUAUGUACUGUAGUACAAUUAAUGUAGAUGAAUAUAUAUGCCUUGCAGUUUUAUCGUGCAUGCCAUUCAACUAACUUGCUCUUGUCCAUGCAGAUGGAGUAGGAGGACGAGCAGCAGCAGCAAAUCAGCCUGAUGAUGAUGGGGUGCAGAAGGCAAUGGUGAUCAUGCUGAUGGCAUGAAGAAGGCUGAUGACCACAACCUGGACCUUUUGGCAUUUAGAGAUGGAAAACACAGGCGGCGUGGAGACAACAACCUGGACCACCCACCUCCCUUGCCUUUUUAAUUUUGGUUGUGGUGGUUGCAUCACCGUCGCGGUCGCAAAUCAGUAUGUAGUGUGCUUGUGGAGUUGGGUCUGGACUGCAGUGUCCAUCUAGUAGGUUAGGUGUUGUUGCUGCUAGAUCCCAUGAUGCUCACCUAAGUUUUGUGUUAUGUGGAGGCCAACCUUUGUGAUCUUAUUUGUCGACACUUGUGUGAUCUCGUCUUACUUUGUGAUACAAGUUGUACGAUAUAUAUGUUUUUAUGGAUGAUCUUAUGAUGUUCUUCUUUUCCUGUGGUCUGUGUUAGAUAUUUGUGAUAUAUGCAUGGGCUAUACAUAUGAA
rnacentral:lncRNA from 1 species